GAGGAAUAUUGCACAAUGGGCGCAAGCCUGAUGCAGCAACGCCGCGUGCGGGACGAAGGCCUUCGGGUCGUAAACCGCUUUUCUGGGGGAAGAGCAAGGACGGUACCUCAGGAAUAAGUCUCGGCUAACCACGUGCCAGCAGCCGCGGUAAAACGUAGGAGGCGAGCGUUAUCCGGAUUUACUGGGCGUAAAGCGCACGCAGGCGGCUCUGUUAGUCGGACGUGAAAGCUCUCGGCUUAACCGGGAGAGGCCGUUCGAUACUGCGGGGCUUGAGGUAGGGAGAGGAAUGCGGAAUUCCCGGUGUAGUGGUGGAAUGCGUAGAUAUCGGGAGGAACACCUGUGUCGAAAGCGGCAUUCUGGCCCUCACCUGACGCUGAGGUGCGAAAGCGUGGGUAGCAAACA
rnacentral:rRNA from 1 species